UGCUGGUGGCGGGUGAAAAAUGAGAUCUAAUUAUAAAGAGUAUUGUUUUGCGGCCAAGAAAUAGGUACAUCGGUGCUACUUACAGAUAGAUCGUUUUCAAAUUUGGGGUCAAAAGCG